CAGACACUGCCUGGCCAGGUUACUCAUUAUGUACCUUGUUCCCUUAGGCUCUUUUUCAAGCUCUGGAGAACAGAGAAGAAAACUGUUAUGUCCACUCUGUGGAACAUUUCAGUACAGAACUACCUUUUUUUUUUUCUUCAUUUAAAGUCAAAAUGCAAAAUGCCUUUUUCCCCCCUGUUCUCAUCUUACAGCCAGCUCAGACAGUAGACACUGGUUUAGAGAGAAGAGAUUGGACUUCUGGUGAAAUAAAGGACAAGUGCAAAAGUUCACCUGGUCAAAGUAAGCGUGGAGAAAAAUCAAGUAUAGAGCACAAGUCUGCCAGGAGGACUUAAGAGUAAAUCUUAGAAGCUUUCAAGCAGCAAAUGAAACAGCAGGAAAAAAGUCAACAAUUAAAUUCAAUCUGUGAACCAUCAGCAGCAGAAGACAAUAGAAAGUGGUGUUAGACAGGCCAAAAAACUACCAGUGUUUCUCAUCCACUUAGAAUUUCAACAGUCAACCAAAAACAAUGGGGAGAAAGGAGCAUCAAGCAAAAUAAACAAUUGUAUUUCCCUUCAGACAAGGGACAGUCUUCUAUUUCACCUGCAGAAUUUAUUACUUCCAAUGUGAAGACCCUUCCUUCCACAGCUGUCAGUAAUUAUAUUUGCCUUUUAUAGUGUGAGGCAUCAGGAAUAAGAAAGAACUUUAUUUUUCCGAAGCCAAACAAGUUCUUUUUUAAAUCUGCAACUUCUCCAAGUUAAUACACACAAAAAGACUUAAGAGGAAUUCAUUUGUGUAACAGAGAAAGAGUACUGGUGCUACCCAGCUGUGCUCUUUUGCUGCUGACAGCAGUAGCUUUAGACUCAGUAGCGAGGAGGGACUUACACUGGUCACUCGGCGGUAGAUCUGCGCAGCAUUUUGGCACUCGGAAUAAGGAUACUCAGACGUGGCCAUCUCUAGCAUACACAUCCCAAAAGCAUAUACAUCAACGGAUUCAUCAUAUUUCUCCUCAUACAUCUCGGGGGCCAUGAACUCUGGGGUACCUUAAAUUAAAAGAACGAUUCAGACUCUAAAUGUCUCAAAGCGAGCAGAGGCUGCUGGCGUUACUCACCGCAGGAGGGAGCGGAUGGGCAGACCUGUGAGACAAGAGAAAGUGGAGGCAAAAAGAAGAGGGAGGAAACCCUUAGUGACUCUGUUGCAUCAACACACUCUGUGAGUCUUCCAUUGCAAGGCCUUUGUGGAAUAAGAAUGGCGUGAAAGGACUGACGCAAGUCCUGGUUUAGAUUAGAGAUGCCACAAGGUGAAUAACCUUAUGACAGCAUUCAAGUGCUUUCCAGCAGUGUUUUCUCACAACCUCUCUUUGGGUAACACAAUUUGAAGUGAAGAGCUGUUUUCUUCCUUUUGAAGAAGUACAGGCUGAAAUACAUUCAGGAGAAAGGAAGUAGCAUGCUCUGUAGAGCAAGGACUUUAUUCUUAUUCAGCCAAUGUUACUCAGUCAAAGUCUCAGAUAAAGACCAGUUUCACAGUAUUGCAAGACUGGUAGUAAAUUCUGUGACCAGCAUGGAGUCUAGCAACUACAGUCUUCAACUAACAGCAAGUCAUGUUCAAUUAUUCUGUGGUACUGUUCAGUUUACUCUGCAUAUCCACUUAAUCAGGAGAUAGUCUGGAUGAAAUCACUUGAAUCACUGCCAACAUAAAAAUGCAGUGUAUUAAUCCCUUUUACUUUCAUUUCUCCAGUUCAAAAGAAGAUCUGGAAAAAUCAAGUUGCUAGCAGUAAUCCUGCUGUGAAAAUAGAUCUGUAAAAGCAAGUGGGACACAGUUCCAGAGGAAAUCAAAUCUUAGAAUAUAAAGACAGGCAGGGAAAAAGCCAAGCCAAGGAAGAAGACAAACUGAAGGAGGUUCUGAAUCACAUCAGCUACCACUUGAAUUCUUGCUAUUGACACAACCCUCAUUCAUCUCUCUUGAGCCUGAUCCAAAGAUCACAUGGUAGGGGCACUUCAGUUCAGCAUCUGGAAUCCCUAAUUACAGUCUUGGUUUCAAAUAUGCUUGCCUACUGCCAGCUCCUCACUGUUAAAGGACCUGGGUCCAACCAUCACCCAGAAUCCCACAGUGCUGCCAUCAGUUUUCCACAACGCUGUCCUGAACUCAGUCACAUGUCACUUAAGGCAGAAACCAAUCUAAAACAGAAGCACAUAUAAAUACAUAAAGAUACACAGACAACCCUCCUAGCCAGUAUGUUUUCAAUUUUCCUAGUAUCACUGGACAACUCAGGCUUGAAGAGAUCUCAAAAGGUUUCUAGUCUAAGCUUCUGCAAUUACAAUUACCUACAGCAUCUCAGCUCAAGGAGCUAUAGGAAUCCCUACUGAAUUAGCAGAGGUAGUUAGGAAGGUAUGUGCCCUACCAGAGAGCUAACACAUUCAUUUAAAGUGGAUCAGGAACACACACUAGACACACUUUUACCCAGACCUUAGACAAAACCAAUGGUUGAGACCUAAGUCAGACUAACCACUGUUGUCUUCAUUAACAGCAUAAUUAAAAUUUCAAAUAGACAACUCCAUUUUUCCCAAUAUUUUAAUUCCACGAUAGCAUACAAUAUCAGAAAGCAGCCUUAUUCUUUACAAAAAUUCAGUUGUAAAACUUUUCCAUUCAUAUACAGAAGUUCAGGGACUUUCCCUUGUGCAAAAUUAGAAAAUUGCCCAGACAGCAUCUGAAAAGAAGGAGUCCACAAAAUUUUAACAUUAUUUCUGGGUAUUUAUGUAUCAAUGCAUACAAAUAUAAAAAACCAUGAGAGAAAAUUUACUUUAAGAUACUACCACACUUCACUUUUUUACAUCAAGUGACAACAAUGUCUAUGUCCCAAGUCUCAAAAUGAGGAAAGUAACACUUUUAUAAAAUGCAGGUAAUGUAAAAACACUGACAAAAAAAAAAAGAUAUGGAAGUAAUACUCAGUCAGCCAAAUAUCAUAAGCUAACACAAGUGUGCAGUGUAGAUUUAGGAAUGUGACACAAACACGUGAAAUACUCAAUGAUAUCAAAUUUGGCACACCAGAAAUUUCCCAUAUAUAUAGUUUACCUGUCAAAUCUCAAGUGAAGUGGGCAAGCAUAAACUAAAUCACAAUUAUAACACAAGCUAUGCAAGAGUGG